rnacentral:rRNA from 1 species
AACGCUAGCUACAGGCUUAACACAUGCAAGUCGAGGGGAAACGACAUUGAAAGCUUGCUUUUGAUGGGCGUCGACCGGCGCACGGGUGAGUAACGCGUAUCCAACCUGCCCACCACUUGGGGAUAACCUUGCGAAAGUAAGACUAAUACCCAAUGAUAUCUCUAGAAGACAUCUGAAAGAGAUUAAAGAUUUAUCGGUGAUGGAUGGGGGUGCGUCUGAUUAGCUUGUUGGCGGGGUAACGGCCCACUAAGGCAACGAUCAGUAGGGGUUCUGAGAGGAAGGUCCCCCACAUUGGAACUGAGACACGGUCCAAACUCCUACGGGAGGCAGCAGUGAGGAAUAUUGGUCAAUGGACGAGAGUCUGAACCAGCCAAGUAGCGUGCAGGAAGACGGCCCUAUGGGUUGUAAACUGCUUUUAUAAGGGAAUAAAGUGAGUCUCGUGAGACUUUUUGCAUGUACCUUAUGAAUAAGGACCGGCUAAUUCCGUGCCAGCAGCCGCGGUAAUACGGAAGGUCCGGGCGUUAUCCGGAUUUAUUGGGUUUAAAGGGAGCGUAGGCCGGAGAUUAAGCGUGUUGUGAAAUGUAGACGCUCAACGUCUGCACUGCAGCGCGAACUGGUUUCCUUGAGUACGCACAAAGUGGGCGGAAUUCGUGGUGUAGCGGUGAAAUGCUUAGAUAUCACGAAGAACUCCGAUUG